UACGUAGGGUGCGAGCGUUAAUCGGAAUUACUGGGCGUAAAGCGUGCGCAGGCGGUGAUGUAAGACAGAUGUGAAAGCCCCGGGCUCAACCUGGGAAUUGCAUUUGAGACUGCUCUGCUCGGGUGCGGAAGAGGGAAGCGGAAUUUCCGGUGUAGCGGUGAAAUGCGUAGAGAUCCGGAGGAACACCAAAGGCGAAGGCAGUGUCCUGGGGAGUACCUGACGCUCAGGUGCGAAAGCCAGGGGAGCGAACGGG
rnacentral:rRNA from 1 species